rnacentral:lncRNA from 1 species
GAACAACAACAACAACAACAACAACAAACCCAGUGUAUUCCCACUUUGUGGGGUCUGGGGGGGGUAAGAUGUACGCAGUCCAUACCUCUACCUCUGAUGAAGUAGAAAGGCUGUUUCCGAAAGACCCCCGGCUCAAGUUACGAGAUAUCAAACAAACACAUAGUACAGCACAGAAGCAGAUGACAUAACAUAGAUACUGCAGCCAUAAGGAA